GACGUAGGGUGCAAGCGUUGUCCGGAUUUAUUGGGCGUAAAGAGCUCGUAGGCGGCUUGUUGCGUCGACUGUGAAAACCCGCGGCUUAACCGCGGGCUUGCAGUUGAUACGGGCAGGCUAGAGUUCGGUAGGGGAGACUGGAAUUCCUGGUGUAGCGGUGAAAUGCGCAGAUAUCGGGAGGAACACCAGUAGCGAAGGCGGCUCGCUGGGCCAUUCCUGGACGCUGAGACGCGAAAGCUAGGGGAGCGAACAGG
rnacentral:rRNA from 1 species